AUUGAACGCUGGCGGCAGGCCUAACACAUGCAAGUCGAACGGUAACAGGUCUUCGGAUGCUGACGAGUGGCGAACGGGUGAGUAAUGCAUCGGAACGUGCCCAGUAGUGGGGGAUAGCCCGGCGAAAGCCGGAUUAAUACCGCAUACGACCUGAGGGUGAAAGGGGGGGAUCGCAAGACCUCUCGCUAUUGGAGCGGCCGAUGUCAGAUUAGCUAGUUGGUGGGGUAAAGGCCUACCAAGGCAACGAUCUGUAGUUGGUCUGAGAGGACGACCAGCCACACUGGGAAUGAGACACGGCACAGACUCCUACGGGAGGCAGCAGUGGGGAAUUUUGGACAAUGGGCGCAAGCCUGAUCCAGCAAUGCCGCGUGCAGGAAGAAGGCCUUCGGGUUGUAAACUGCUUUUGUCAGGGAAGAAAUCUUCUGGGUUAAUACCUCGGGAGGAUGACGGUACCUGAAGAAUAAGCACCGGCUAACUACGUGCCAGCCGCCGCCGUAAAAC
rnacentral:rRNA from 1 species